rnacentral:rRNA from 1 species
UACGUAGGGGGCAAGCGUUGUCCGGACUUAUUGGGCGUAAAGAGCGUGUAGGCGGCUUUACAGGUCCGUUGUGAAAACUCGAGGCUCAACCUCGAGACGCCGGUGGAAACCGUAAGGCUAGAGUCCGGAAGAGGAGAGUGGAAUUCCUGGUGUAGCGGUGAAAUGCGCAGAUAUCAGGAGGAACACCCGUGGCGAAAGCGGCUCUCUGGGACGGUACUGACGCUGAGACGCGAAAGCGUGGGGAGCAAACAGG